CGUAUGGGUCUGCGGCGUACGAACCGUCGGUGACGGAGGCCGUGGUUGGGGCCGUGACGGGAGAUUCCCUAAGCCGUGGCUCGAGUCUGCGUUCUACUCCCGAUCCGUGGCUCAGGUAAUGGAUCUCCGGUAGGGGGCAGUGGGCAGCGUAAUAAAUGACAAGUAAGAUGGAAGAAGGAGCUCUCUCCCGCCCGUGGCCACGUUAUCCUGCAGCGCCAUUGACGCCCGCCGAGGUCUGCGGCGGAAGGAAAAUGCGGCGGCGAUUCCCGAAUGGAGUUCCUCAUGCAACCGAUUAGGAGGACCGCGGUGAUGGAGGAGGUGAACGACAACGAGCUACCAAUGGAGCCUCUGCUCUACCCAGCUGUGGCGAUAGGAGCCGAAGAGCUGCCCCCAAUGGCCACAGGUAGCACUGACGGGCGGAUUUGUGCGGCGGAUGUGACAGUCGCGGCAGAGGGGGGUGAUGAACCGCAAGCAUCUAAGCAAUCCAUAGGUCAAAUUGAUCCAAAAACUCCUGGCUAGACUCGCAGGGUUAGAAUUGGAGCUGAUGCUCCUGGGAGGGCGCCUUGCCCUGGGCCACCCAGCGCCCUUGAGAAGGCAAUAAGGGGGUUUGCUGACAAGCCAGGCAGCAUUGUAAUCAUGCCAGCACCGGGGACAAGCUUUGAUACACUUGGGGAGACCUAUGCUUUUUACAAUCUCUACUCAUGGGAGAAGGGAUUUGGAAUAAGGUACGGGAAGAGUAGGCUGAAU